AGUAGGGAAUAUUGGACAAUGGGCGCAAGCCUGGUCCAGCCAUGCCGCGUGAGUGAAGAAGGCCCUCGGGUUGUAAAGCUCUUUUGUUGGGGAAGAAAAGCAGUUGGUUAAUACCCGAUUGUUCUGACGGUACCCAAAGAAUAAGCACCGGCUAACUUCGUGCCAGCAGCCGCGGUAAUACGAAGGGUGCAAGCGUUACUCGGAAUUACUGGGCGUAAAGCGUGCGUAGGUGGUUGUUUAAGUCUGAUGUGAAAGCCCUGGGCUCAACCUGGGAAUGGCAUUGGAUACUGGAUAGCUAGAGUGCGGUAGAGGGUAGUGGAAUUCCCGGUGUAGCAGUGAGAUGCGUAGAGAUCGGGAGGAACAUCCGUGGCGAAGGCGACUACCUGGGCCAGCACUGACACUGAGGCACGAAAGCGUGGGGAGCAAACAGGAUUAGAUACCCUGGUAGUCCACGCCCUAAACGAUGCGAACUGGAUGUUGGGCUCAACUUGGAGCUCAGUAUCGAAGCUAACGCGUUAAGUUCGCCGCC
rnacentral:rRNA from 1 species